UUAAGCGACUAAGCGUACACGGUGGAUGCCCUGGCAGUCAGAGGCGAUGAAGGACGUGCUAAUCUGCGAUAAGCGUCGGUGAGGUGAUAUGAACCGUUAUAACCGGCGAUUUCCGAAUGGGGAAACCCAGUGUGUUUCGACACACUAUCAUUAACUGAAUCCAUAGGUUAAUGAGGCGAACCGGGGGAACUGAAACAUCUAAGUACCCCGAGGAAAAGAAAUCAACCGAGAUUCCCCCAGUAGCGGCGAGCGAACGGGGAGGAGCCCAGAGCCUGAAUCAGUGUGUGUGUUAGUGGAAGCGUCUGGAAAGGCGUGCGAUACAGGGUGACAGCCCCGUACACAAAAAUGCACAUAUUGUGAGCUCGAUGAGUAGGGCGGGACACGUGGUAUCCUGUCUGAAUAUGGGGGGACCAUCCUCCAAGGCUAAAUACUCCUGACUGACCGAUAGUGAACCAGUACCGUGAGGGAAAGGCGAAAAGAACCCCGGCGAGGGGAGUGAAAAAGAACCUGAAACCGUGUACGUACAAGCAGUGGGAGCCUCUUAAUGGGGUGACUGCGUACCUUUUGUAUAAUGGGUCAGCGACUUAUAUUCUGUAGCAAGGUUAACCGAAUAGGGGAGCCGAAGGGAAACCGAGUCUUAACUGGCGUUAAGUUGCAGGGUAUAGACCCGAAACCCGGUGAUCUAGCCAUGGGCAGGUUGAAGGUUGGGUAACACUAACUGGAGGACCGAACCGACUAAUGUUGAAAAAUUAGCGGAUGACUUGUGGCUGGGGGUGAAAGGCCAAUCAAACCGGGAGAUAGCUGGUUCUCCCCGAAAGCUAUUUAGGUAGCGCCUCGUGAAUUCAUCUCCGGGGGUAGAGCACUGUUUCGGCAAGGGGGUCAUCCCGACUUACCAACCCGAUGCAAACUGCGAAUACCGGAGAAUGUUAUCACGGGAGACACACGGCGGGUGCUAACGUCCGUCGUGAAGAGGGAAACAACCCAGACCGCCAGCUAAGGUCCCAAAGUCAUGGUUAAGUGGGAAACGAUGUGGGAAGGCCCAGACAGCCAGGAUGUUGGCUUAGAAGCAGCCAUCAUUUAAAGAAAGCGUAAUAGCUCACUGGUCGAGUCGGCCUGCGCGGAAGAUGUAACGGGGCUAAACCAUGCACCGAAGCUGCGGCAGCGACACUAUGUGUUGUUGGGUAGGGGAGCGUUCUGUAAGCCUGUGAAGGUGGCCUGUGAGGGUUGCUGGAGGUAUCAGAAGUGCGAAUGCUGACAUAAGUAACGAUAAAGCGGGUGAAAAGCCCGCUCGCCGGAAGACCAAGGGUUCCUGUCCAACGUUAAUCGGGGCAGGGUGAGUCGACCCCUAAGGCGAGGCCGAAAGGCGUAGUCGAUGGGAAACAGGUUAAUAUUCCUGUACUUGGUGUUACUGCGAAGGGGGGACGGAGAAGGCUAUGUUGGCCGGGCGACGGUUUGUCCCGGUUUAAGCGUGUAGGCUGGUUUUUCCAGGCAAAUCCGGAAAACCAAGGCUGAGGCGUGAUGACGAGGCACUACGGUGCUGAAGUGACAAAUGCCCUGCUUCCAGGAAAAGCCUCUAAGCAUCAGGUAACAUCAAAUCGUACCCCAAACCGACACAGGUGGUCAGGUAGAGAAUACCAAGGCGCUUGAGAGAACUCGGGUGAAGGAACUAGGCAAAAUGGUGCCGUAACUUCGGGAGAAGGCACGCUGAUAUGUAGGUGAAGCGACUUGCUCGUGGAGCUGAAAUCAGUCGAAGAUACCAGCUGGCUGCAACUGUUUAUUAAAAACACAGCACUGUGCAAACACGAAAGUGGACGUAUACGGUGUGACGCCUGCCCGGUGCCGGAAGGUUAAUUGAUGGGGUUAGCGGCAACGCGAAGCUCUUGAUCGAAGCCCCGGUAAACGGCGGCCGUAACUAUAACGGUCCUAAGGUAGCGAAAUUCCUUGUCGGGUAAGUUCCGACCUGCACGAAUGGCGUAAUGAUGGCCAGGCUGUCUCCACCCGAGACUCAGUGAAAUUGAACUCGCUGUGAAGAUGCAGUGUACCCGCGGCAAGACGGAAAGACCCCGUGAACCUUUACUAUAGCUUGACACUGAACAUUGAGCCUUGAUGUGUAGGAUAGGUGGGAGGCUUUGAAGUGUGGACGCCAGUCUGCAUGGAGCCGGCCUUGAAAUACCACCCUUUAAUGUUUGAUGUUCUAACGUGGGCCCGUUAUCCGGGUUGCGGACAGUGUCUGGUGGGUAGUUUGACUGGGGCGGUCUCCUCCUAAAGAGUAACGGAGGAGCACGAAGGUUGGCUAAUCCUGGUCGGACAUCAGGAGGUUAGUGCAAUGGCAUAAGCCAGCUUGACUGCGAGCGUGACGGCGCGAGCAGGUGCGAAAGCAGGUCAUAGUGAUCCGGUGGUUCUGAAUGGAAGGGCCAUCGCUCAACGGAUAAAAGGUACUCCGGGGAUAACAGGCUGAUACCGCCCAAGAGUUCAUAUCGACGGCGGUGUUUGGCACCUCGAUGUCGGCUCAUCACAUCCUGGGGCUGAAGUAGGUCCCAAGGGUAUGGCUGUUCGCCAUUUAAAGUGGUACGCGAGCUGGGUUUAGAACGUCGUGAGACAGUUCGGUCCCUAUCUGCCGUGGGCGCUGGAGAACUGAGGGGGGCUGCUCCUAGUACGAGAGGACCGGAGUGGACGCAUCACUGGUGUUCGGGUUGUCAUGCCAAUGGCACUGCCCGGUAGCUAAAUGCGGAAGAGAUAAGUGCUGAAAGCAUCUAAGCACGAAACUUGCCCCGAGAUGAGUUCUCCCUGACCCUUUAAGGGUCCUGAAGGAACGUUGAAGACGACGACGUUGAUAGGCCGGGUGUGUAAGCGCAGCGAUGCGUUGAGCUAACCGGUACUAAUGAACCGUGAGGCUUAACCUU
rnacentral:rRNA from 1 species